rnacentral:lncRNA from 1 species
UCAUGUUUAUAUUUUUUUUGAAAGUCAUCUGUGGCCUGUAGUGCAUAGAUGGACUUGGUAUGAUUAUGACCAGGGAUUAUUCGGUAUAAUCAUGACCGUAAUAUUAUAAAUGAUGUGAUAAAAGUCCUCAUUGGCCCGUAGUGCAUUGAUGGACAGUUGUUGGCAUGAUCAUGACCAUUGAUGAAUACACGAAUGUCCUUGGCCCGUAGUGCAUGGAUAAUU